GUUAAGCCCGGCUAGCAAGCAUUUACAGCCUCUAGACCGGGGUGUCAAAGCUACAGCUGUGACAUAGACACCUGCCAGGAGAAUUCAUAUGGUCUGAGGUCCACUACCCACCCGCAGCAGUCUUUCAGGAGUUUCGUCUUUGAUUAGCUUGCUCUUACCUGGCAUCAGAACUGAUCAAGGAGUACUUCCCUGGGCACUCUGGAUCUUCUGGGCCACAUGAGGGAAGAGAAAGACAAGGAAGGACUCUUUAAGAGCAGACUGAUUUCAUUCCAGGAGGCAGGACCAGAAGCAGGAAGAAUGAAAAAUUUUCACCAUCUUCCUGAGCCUGAAUGUGACACUCUCUAUACUAGACCAGAUGAUGGAGGAAGGGCGGCAGGAAAGAUUGCAGCUAGC
ensembl:lncRNA